UUGCCUAGAUAGUGAUUCACCUCGCGUGUUUCAGAUGAGCUCCUUUUGAGGAGAGGAGGUGUGAUACAGGUCCCACAGCCGUGCAGAAGAUGAGACUCUGUUAUGCUUGCAAGACAGGUCUUAAUUACAAAGUGAAAAUUGUUAUUUCAUGUUAAACUGGUGGGAGAAGAUAUAUGAAAGCAGAGGAAAUAUUCAGUAACUGCUGAAAAGGACACCCAGACACAAGGAGAUGUCUCAUUAAUUACUUGCUUUAGUCCCCUUUGGGCUCAGAACACAGCAACAAUAGAAUUACUUUUGUUAGCAGCUGUGGGUUCUGUUUUGACUAAGAUAUGUGUUUUCUAUUUAUACAUUAACGGUUUUUGACACGUUUCUUUUUGGUGUGGGAAUUAAUUACCUACAAUUUAUCUAGAGACUACUUAAUCCACAUGUCAAUCAUUCAUGUUUCGUAGUGUUUCACAGACAGCAGCAGAAAUAAGGACUACUGAGAAUGGAGCCAUCCUGCCAGCAAAUGUGGAGUCAUUCAGGGCUACAGCUGUUAGUUAUCAGCCUAAGUAGGUCACACGGACAGAUCUGUCCCACCUCCCACCUACUGACUGGUCUUAAAGUCAAGAAAUGUACCCUACUCAGAGCACUUGGAUUUUUUGAUGUAUUUAUUGAAAAACUGAGCUAAAGGUGGUCACAAAAUACCACUGAGUGUAUCUGUUCAUCUCAGAGGUUAAAAACGAUUCCUCACACUUUGUAUCCACAAAAGUGUCUA